UCUGUAACAUCGGGAGCUCAGUGACCUUGAAGACCAUUUCCUGCUGGGAUAUUAAUACCACCACUAAUAAUAACAGUAGCCGUCGAGGCAGGAGCAAGCCUGCUAAAAUUAGCUGCACCUGUUGAGGGUACAACACGUGCCAGGCCCUCUCCAUAUGUUCUGACGUCAGUCCCUGCUGCGUGAGCUGGACGCAGCAUCUCCAUGUUGACAACCAGGGGAUGGGUGCUCCGUACUCGCGCAGGGUCCCGGAGCUAGAACAGAACUCACGGCUGUUUUGGUUGGGCUUGGAGGAUGGCAAAGACCAGAGGCACCCAGCUGACCUCAAAUCACCUGCCGAGUUCCCUUCUUCCUCUCUGUAUGUCUGUUCUGGACCCCCAGCCCCUGCUCCUCAUAGAUGCGGCUGUCAUCCCACGGAGUCUCCUCUCGGAUUCUCUCCAGAUCCCCUCUCGGCCUCUCCCUCGCCCCCAUUUUACUUCCUACUUCCCAAUUCAAGGUCCGUGACCCGGGACCUCUUUUGGCCCCUGCCAGACCCCCCCCAACCCCCACGUGCCUUUGGAUGGUCAGACCCCACCCUUUGUCUGUUCAGCUGUGGGGAAGGGGUGCGUUCCCUUCUCCCAGCCGUCCUCAGACUUGGCCUCAGGGCCCUGUUCCACUAUGAAAAAUUAUUGGAGACUUGAAAGGGCUUUCGUUUAUGUGGUUGUAUCUAUUGAUAUUUACCAUAUUAGAAAUUAAAGCUGAGAAAUCAUAA